rnacentral:misc_RNA from 1 species
UACGAAGGUGGCAAGCGUUACUCGGAAUUACUAGGCGUAAAGCGCGGGUAGGUGGUUCGGUAAGUCUGCUGUGGAAGCUCCUGGCUUAACUGGGAGAGGUCAGCAGAAACUACCGGACUGGAGUGUGGGAGAGGUUAUCGGAAUUCCCGGUGUAGCGGUGAAAUGCGCAGAGAUCGGGAGGAACACCAAAGGCGAAAGCAGAUAACUGGACCACUACUGACACUGAGCCGCGAAAGCUAGGGGAGCAAACAGG